rnacentral:lncRNA from 1 species
UUGACCAAGAGAUCCACUGGCUCAGAAUCAGUCUUGCGUGUUUCCUAAGAGACACCCUAAACCCUAAUCACUUUCAACCUACCCGGCUGCCCUCAUUUCCCAAUUCCCUCUCUUUUCUCUUAUCCCCCAUCAUCCCAGUCAGUCCAAAACCUUGCACAAAUUUGUGCAAGGUCACAAAUCCGACCUCAAAUCAUCCUUUCUGUCCUUUCUUAACUAAGAAUCCCACCUAAAACUUUCCCGUUUCGUUACCUCAAUUCAAAUCGUAAACACAUAAGCCCUAAACCUAAAGUUGAUACCUGAGAUUUCAUCUGUCCUUCCUUCCUUCAAAUCAAGGCAUGCAUGACCAUUAUCAUCAUCAUCAUUAUUCGUUGUCCAAAGGUCAAUUGCAGUGACCUCUGUACAUUAGGGUUUGACCGAUGGACCAAAGGCUUCAAUGAUCGACCUCCUCGUGCCCAGGUAAAUCUUAUAUUGUUUUCCCCUCUUGUCCUUCUGAUUUCACCUGCUUACUAUCGUCAUCCACUCCAUUGUUACACCCCACUAAUUUUUGAACUCAAUCGAAACCCCAAGUGUCUUGAAUGCCACUAUAAAUAGGCAUUCAAUGUCUUCACUUUACAUACACCAAUACAUACUUAACAUCACCGGCAUAUACACUGAAAGAAUUAAAAGUUCAAGGUUUUUCCGCUAAGUUUACGAUCUAGUAGUUCCUCUCUAAUUUCUCUCUUCUUCUUUUCAUUUGUGUUCGCGUUUUCCCUCUGUGAGUUUCUCGUUGUUGCUUUUGGGCUCCUACACUGCUAAUAAUCGAUUCCUACUUGGUUUGUUUCUCUAUAAAAGGUCAGUGUACACUGACCAUCUCUUUAUCUUUAAUUGACUGUGCAAUUUUUUGUUUAUGAUAUUUUCUCUGUUGAUCACCCUUUGUUUAUGAUAUACAUCAGUGGUGUGUGACUGUACUGGUUAUGUUCUUCUUUCACAUGCCAUUUUCACUAACUGAGUUAAUUAUUUCCUGAUGAGUUAUGUUAUUUUGGUACGGCUAGCCAAUCUAUGUUGUUAAUGAAUUCCAUCUCCCAUAACUUAGUUAGAUAAAAUGUUUUCUCUGAUGUUGAUAUUCUUGUGGAUAAAUAUUGCUGAACAUUUUACCAUGACUUGAGCUAAAAUCUUAUGUUGAUCAUGUGCGUGUUCCAUCCCUGUUAGUUAGAUGAUAAUUAUACUACCAUAUUAGCUAAAUCAAUCUAGUUAUAAUCUUAAGCUUCUCAUGAUGUCCUGUUAAGACUUCACAUUUGUUACACUGUGCUAUAUUGAUCCAUAUGUGUGUGUGAUAUUAUGCCACAUUGUUUUAGUUCAAAGUAAAAAUGAUCCUCAUUACCAUUUAUGUCUUGUAUUUGAUCUGUCUAGUCUAAAGACCUUAGUUGACAGUUUUUGUCGAAAUCAUGUCUAUUCUAUUCAUGUAAGUAUCUCAUUAUAGAAGAAACCAUGUAAUGAACCUUUCUAUGUAUAUUAGGAAAAUUGUUCUUUGUUGAUUCCUGUAAUGAACUUGAUACUUGACUACUUGAGUUUUCUGUGAGAGUUUUGCUACUAUAUUAAGGAUCUUUUGUACCUAAGUUUACAUCUGCCAUGUUAAUCCCUUCUAUGUUCAUUGACCGUCCUAUAAUCUUUGUUUGAAAGACUGUAUGUUCACCCCCAUGUGUUGACUCUUUUUCUUACCUUGGUUUUGACUCUACUAUGGUGGUGUAUUUGGUUUGAAUUUAUAAUUAUUUCCACGUUAAGAGGUUUGUUCCUAUUUGCUUGUGAUGAAUUAUUCUUUAUGACUCUAAUUGUUAGAUUGUACUGUAACUUGGCUCUGUCCUGAUUCUUACAUUUUUGGCAUGUUAACUUAUAUAUAAAUCAGGUAUUAAACCCUGUUAAUAUGCUAUGUUGAUAAACUUGCCUAUAUAUUCAAAUGCCAUACCAUCAUGACUUGCUUGCCAUAUUAAGAUAAAUGUGAUCAACCAUUGCCUUAUACCUAAUCAUAUCAUCUCCUGAAGGGACUCAAUCUGAAAUUUGUUUAAGUCUUGCAGUCAGAAAUCUUGAUGAGCUAUAUGUUGCAUGAUCAAUCCAUUAGUGUUCAGUAAGAUUGAUCCUUUACUGUUGAAAGACUUUAAUGCCCUGACUUAUGUGCAUGCCCUCUUAGAAAGUUCUAACUGGACAUCAUUAGUUUAACUGUUAUAAGUGAUGAAUGCCUACUGUAACUAUGCUAAGGCUUUGGAAAAUACCUGAGAACAGUCCUCAUGAUCUUAACUUACUAGAAGUAGCUGUUUAAUGGUAUUUGGAUGUGAAUUUUUUGUGGUUGUGAUCCCUCUCCUUGACACAAGCACUGCUCGGGGUCCAUGAGACCCUCGUAAACUCUGAAGUACCAAAGAUUUAAAGUGGUGACAUAUCCAUAAAUAAGGAUCUAUACCAAGACCUUAACCACUAACUCCUAUUAAUAUUCAUAGGAUUAGCAUGAAUAAAAUUUACUUCACUAUGUUCCACAACUCUUUAUUACCAUUUAUAAUUUUAUCUUGCUUAUUUUUUUACAAUUGAUAUGUAUUAAUUAUUCUAUUUUUCUUUGUAUGCAUGAAUUCAAUCUAGGCCUGUUGAGUUCAUUUAGAGCUCAAGUCCACUGUCAGAUCUAGGCUGUCGCAUUCCUGUCAUGUCUGUUAUUCGUAGACAUAAUAUUGGGCAUGUUUAAGCACUGAGCCCAAAUCACCAUUAGUCCAGUUUCUUACCCUUAUUUAUCUUGAACUUAUUUUACUAAUGUUUGAUAUGUCGCUAUUAGUCAAAUACCUUGAUUGUGUAGGAAACGUAGGUAAACCAAAAGCUCAUAGGUAAAAGAAUCAAAAUCUGAAAUUCUGCUCGUUUUAACACCUUCACUAUUUGAUCACAGAUUUCUUAGUAAAUGAAAGAUCUUGUCUUGUUAUCACUAACCAUUUUGAGUAAGUUUGGAUUCAGACAGAUUCAAAAGAAAAACAAAUUCUCUUUAGAAAGAUCAAAAUCUCGAGAAUAAUUACAAAGCUAAUUUCAAGAAACAAAAUCAAACACAAUGGAUCAUUACUAAGUAAACGGACUUCAAUGAGUUUCGAAACACAAAAUUCCAGGUGGAGUUGAUUCUCAAAAGAGGUAUACCCAUCCCAUAUCAAGGUAUAUUUUUAAAUGGUCUCUUAUUUUGCCAAGUCAUAUACGAGUAACCAUAUUUUCAAAAAUACGGUCAAUGUUCCUUCAAACAUAGAGUCCUCUGCAAGAAACGAUUCUAAAAAUAAACAUACCUAGUUUUCAGUUUUGUAAAAGCAUACAUUUCAAAAGAGGUUUUUCAUAGAUCAUAAAACCUUAAAAACCUAUAACUUCUUUUCAAAGUACAUACACCUCCCCCUCUUUCAAAAUAAAGGAUUUUAAACAAGAAUUAGGAUAUUUUACGGAUUUUAAAUACCUGACCAAGCGGAGUAUAGACCUUUACUUCCUCAAGCCUAUCCUAAGCCUUAGGAGCUACCCUAGUUAAAUUUUAAGGGAUGCCUAACACCUUGCCCUUGAAAUAACUAGAACCCUUACUUAAAUCUCACUGGUUAGCAGAUCAUUAGGAUAAUCAUUUUGCAAACACAUAGGUACCCUAAUAUACCUUAAAUAUUAUAUGGCGACUCUCCUUUAUCAACAUCAGAAGAACCAACAAUUGUAUUUAUUUUUACCUGUGCAAAAUACGAUGCAACAUCGUGUAUUGUGAUGCGUCGCGUAUUGGGCUUGGUGCGAUAUUGAUGCAGGUCGGUAGGGUGAUUGCCGACGCGUCUUGUCAAUUAAAGUUUCAUGAGAAGAAUUACAUUGUGCAUGAUUUAGAGUUGGCAUCCAUCAUUUACGCGAUGUAGAUUUAGAGGAACUAUUUGUAUGGCGUUCCAUGUGAGGUCUAUACCGACCAUCGGAGUAUCCAGCAGCUAUUCAAAUAGAAGGACCUUAAUUUGCAGCAACGGAGAUGGUUGGAGUUGUUGAAAGACUAUUAUAUCACCAUAUUAUAUCAUCCAUGGAAGGCCAAUUUAGUGAUCGAUGCAUUGAAGAGGAAGGCUGAGAGCAUGGGCGGUUUGGCAUAUUUACCUGUAGUAGAGAGGCCACUAGCUAUGGAUGUUCAGGCUUUGGCCAAUCAAUUUCUAAGGCUGGACGUUUCGGAGCCUAGCCAGUUUUUUGCUUGUGUUAUGACACAGUAAUCGUUGUUGGAGCGAAUCAAGGCUCGCCAGUUUGAUGAUCCUCAGUUGUUGGUGUUGAAAUACACGGUGCAACAUAGUGGUGCCAAGGAGGUGGUGAUUGGUGAUGAUGGUGUUAUGUGGAUUCAAGUUCGGAUUUGUUUUCCAGAUGUUGAUGGUUUGAGAGAGUUGAUCCUUGAGGAGGCUCAUAGUCCGCGUUAUUCCAUUCACCCUUGUGUCACGAAGGUGUAUCGUGACUAGAAAUAACAUUAUUUAUGGCAGAGAAUCAAGAACGAUAUUGUUGCAUAUGUAUCUCUGUGUUUGAAUUGUCAACAGGUAAAGUACGUCCAUCAAAAACUGGGUAGAUUGACUCACAGAUUGGAGAUAUUGGAGUGGAAGUGAGAGCGCAUCACUUUGGAUUUUGUGGCAGGCUUACCACAGACCUUCAGAAAAUAUGACACAGUCUGGGUUAUUCUGGACCUGUAGACUAAGUUCGCACACUUUAUUCCGGUGAUGACUUCCUAUUCUUCAAAGCGAUUGGCUUAGAUUUACAUCCGAGAGAUUAUCCGGUUGCACGAUGUUCCUAUCCACAUCAUUUCUACCGAGGCAUGUAGUUCACAUCCUAUUUUUGGAGAGUCGUGCAUCACGAGUUGGGCAUGCGAGUCGAGUUGAGAAUCGUGUUUCAUCCUCAGACGAACGGACAGUCUGAGCAGUCAUGACCCCAAUUUACCUCUGUAGGAUGUCGUGAUGGCACCUAGUCUCUAAGACUAGGUAAGCCUAACAAUUACUGACUUAAUAACAUAUUUUAACCAAAUAACUAUUAAGCAUGAAACAAAAAUUUUUAUAAUAAGUCAACAAUCCAAGGUAGAUAUAUAACAUCCCAAAAUCGGUAGUACAAGUCAUAAGCUCUACUAAAUUCACUAGAAAAUUUCUAAGUACAACUAUUCUGGAAUAGAAAUAAACUGUACAAAAUAACUUCAGAAGGUGACUCCGAGGCCUACGAACACGAUGACAAGUAUACCUUAAGUUUGCAUAACAAUUCCUGAUCAGCUAGCUAAUGAUCAACAAACUCUGAAGUACCUGGAUCUGUACAAAAAUGGGCAGAAAGCAUAGAAUGAGUACACCACGGUGGUACCUAGCAUGUAUCAAGUUUAACCUCGAUGGAGUAGUGAUGAGGGACAGUCAAGACACCUACUAGUUUUAAUAACCUGUACAAUUAUGAAUGUGAAACUAACAGGGAACAAUAUCAAUAUAAAGCUAAGCAUCGUAAAAAUAACAAAACAAUACUUGGAAUAGAAAACUAGAAACAACAAAUAGCAACAAGGCACAUGUAAUAAUGCCGUAGAGUAAGUUGAAUACAGUUUAAGUCCGGUGAAACCAAUUGAGGGAAAACAAGUAACAACUAAACAAGGGAAACCGCUUUCACACAAGGUUUGCUCAUGGGUUCCAAUUCCUGAACCCUAAUUCAUAACCGCACGGAUGACUCACGUGCCAAGAAAGUGACAAUAUCUGAUAUCCGCACGGACAACUCACGUUCUAACAAUAACAAGGACUCAUGAUCACACGGACAACUCACGAGCCAAUAGAACAACUCUCACACAGAGGCGCGUAAACGAGAGUACAUGUAAAUAGUCAAUAACGUCAAGAUUCAUCUUCUCAACCGAUAUGGGUGAUUAAUUACAUGUAUGCUUGUGCAAGUGUUCUAUCACAAUUUGAGUCAACAUGUAAGAGUAGAGACAACGAAUGGCAAAAAGGAAACUACACAAUAAGAAGUAAAAUGCAUAACUCACACGAGGUAAGCACACCACUACACAAAUAUUAUCAAUAACAAUGCCCUCAGGUCAUCACAAGUCGUCACAAAUCAUCCCCGACAUAGCCCACCUUGUCUUGCCAUGUGCGCAACAAUAAAGUAAAUGCCCACCUUAUCUAGCCGCACGCGCAUAAUAAUAUUCCCACAUUAUCUCGCCAUAUGUGCAACCCCCUCCCCUCCCCCCCCACAUAUAUAUAUAUAUAGCCUGCUUUGUCUCGCCGGAUGUGCAAAUAUCAAUAAUAAAAAUAAUAAUAGCACUGAUUCAAAAAAAUUUCUGAGGUACCACACCUCAUAAUCACAAAUCACGGGUCCCAAUUCACGAACCCCACUCACUUGGCAUCUUGUGCCCACAUUACAAAUCACAAUCGCGCAGACAACUCACGUGACAAUAUCAUUAAUACCUCAUAUCUGCACGGACAAUUCACGUGCUAAGGGAGUGACAAUAUCUCAUAUCCACACGGACAACUCACGUGCCAACAAUAACAAUAACUCAUAACCGAACGAACAACUCACGUGCAAAUAGUACAACUCUUACACAUAAGGCAAGUAAACGAUAAUAUAUGUAAAUGAUCAAUAAACAUUAGAUUUUAUCUUCUUAAACCGUUAUGAGUGAUUAAUUACGUGUAUGCUUGUGCAAGUGUGCUAUCAUAACUUAAGUCAACAAGUAAGAGUAGAGACAACGAAUGGUACAUAGGAAACAACAUAACAAAACAUAAAAUGCAUAACUCACACAAGGUAGGCACACCACUACACAAAUAUCAUCAAUAACAAUGCCCCCAGGCUAUCACAGGUCAUCACAAAUCAUCCUUAACAUAGCCCCCCUUGUCUUGCCACGUGCGAAAAAAUAAAGUAAAUGUCCGCCUUGUAUUGCCACAUGCGUAUAAUAAUAUUUCUNNNNNNNNNNNNNNNNNNNNNNNNNCCUUGUUACGCCGCAUGUGCAAAUAUCAAUAAUAACAAUAGCGAGGACAACUGACGUGCAAACACCCCGAUAAUUCUUUCAACAAUAUCACGUGUGCCAAAAAUAUAACAACUCGCACACAUAUGCCACAAGUUUUCCUCAAAACGAUUACAAUACCACAGCCAUACAUAGCCCUCGGCUCAACGACACUAAGUACAACAACAACAACAACAAUAACACGGGAGUACGACAAGCAAAUCAACACAAGAAUCUGUAAGCACAAAAAAUGAAAGAACGAGCUCACAAUGAAAGACAUAACAAGUAAUAAUGGUUUCAAACAAGAAGAACUCAACAACAUGAGAGAUAAUGUGUAAUAAUGAUAAAUAAGAGUAACUCAACAAUGGAAGGGAUAAUACGUAAUAAUGAUUCCAAAUAAGUACAACUCGAUGAUAAGAGAGAUAACAUGUAACAAUGAUUCUAAACAAGGAUAAGUCAACAAUGGAAGGAAUAACAAUAACUUCAACUAAGGUUAAGAAAUUACGGAAGAGAUAACAUGGCAAUAAAAGAGGCAACAACUUCAAUUAAGGCAUAUAAGAGUAUAUUUGGCAACAAGGGUAGAACAUGAAUCAAUCAACCUCAAAUAAGACACGUAAGGGUAAAUUUAGCAAUAGAGGAUUUAACAUGAUAACAAAACUUUAUUUUUUUAAUGUACAUAAGAACCUAAGAGACUAAGCCGGUAAAAUUUCCACAUAUAAGCCGUGUACUCACUCGUCAUCUCGUGUACACGUCUUUCAUGUAGUUCAAAUAGUACAAGCAAACCAAUCCCUAUAGGGUAGUUCCCCCACAAAAUGUUAGGCAAGAUACUUACCUCAAAAUCCCUCAAUCCACUCUAAAAUAACUUUUUCUUUACAAUUCACCUCCGCUCGGCUCAAAUCUAACCAAAAUUGACUCAAUGACAUCAAAUAGUGCAAGAGAAAUCAAUUCCAAUAAUUAAAGCUAAGAUUUUUACGCAAUUGCCCAAAAGUCAACAAAAGUCAACCCCGGGCUCGUCCAAUCAAAAUCCGGGUCAAAUGGUAGAUUCCGACUAUCCAUGACCCCACGAGUUCAUUUAGGUGAUAAGUUUCAAAAUGUGAGUCUAAAUCGACUCUCAAAACACAAAUUCUUAUUUUUCGAAAACUUAACAAAGUUUCAUAAAUUUUUACUUUGAUUCACGUGAUUUUGAUGUUAUAAUCUAAGAUAUAUUGAUGGAAUAUGAUUAGAAAUAGAUUAGAAUAACUUACCCGAAGUUUGUAGAUAAACAUCCCUCUUCCAAAUCGCCUCCUACCGAGUCUAGUGUUCCAAAAUAUGAAAAUGAGAGUAAACUUCCUGUCCCUUAGCUUUUUGUCCAGUCGCAGGUGUGGCAAAUGCAACAUGGAUUUCGCAAAUGCGAGCCCCGCAAAUGCGAAGAAAUCAUCGCAAAAGCGAACUCCUCGCAUACCUAUUGUCACGGCAAAUGCGACGACUGGUUCGCAAAUAAGAAUAUUGGACCAUCGCAAAAGUGAUCAAAUUAUCACAAAUGCAAUCACUGUUGAACCCAGACCAUCAUAAAACUCCUCGCAUUUGUGAUUCUCACUUUGCAAGUCAUAACACACAAUAGGAAGCUACUUAAGCCCUCGAACUACUAAAUGAAACCUUAAAGCUCAAAACAACCGGUCGGGUCGUUACAUGAGCGCACUAUUCAAAUCUUGGAGAAAAUGUUAUAUGCCUGUGUUAUUGAUUUUGGAGGUUUAUGGGAUCAUUUUCUACUGCUUGUAGAGUUUACCUACAAUAAUAGUUAUCAGUCAAGUAUUUAGAUGACGUCGUAUGAGGCCUUUUAUGGGAGGUAAUGUCGUUCGCCGAUUAGUUGGUUUGAGCCCAGAAAGGCUAGAUUAUUAGGCAUUGAUUUGGUUUGUGAGGCUAUGGAGAAGGUUAAGUUGAUUCAGGAGCGACUUCGUAUAGCUCAGUCCACGCAAAAGUGUUUUGCGGACCUAAAUAUUCGAGUUGUGGCUUGUAUGGUGGGUGAGAAGGUUCUUCUCUAAAUUCGCCUAUGAAUGACGUGAUGCAGUUUGGGAAGAAGGGAAAGUUGAGCCCGAUGUUUGUUAGCCCAUUCAAGUUCUUGGAGAGAGUUGGAGAGGUUGCUUAUUGGCUUGCAUUGACUCCUAGCCUAGCAGGGUUAUAUCCGGUAUUUCAUAUUUUCAUACUUCAUAAGUGACAUGAGGACAGAUGACAUGUUUUGGACCUUAGCACGGUGCAACUUGAUGAAAAUCUGACCUAUGAGGAGGAGCUGGUGGCUAUUCUAGACCGACAGGUUCGUAAGUUGAGAUCCAAGGGUUUUCCUUCUAUGAAAGUUCAAUGGAGAGGUCAGCUGAUUGAGGAGGUUACGUGGUAGUCUGAGUAUGAUAUGCGAAGUAGAUACCCUCACCAUUUUACCAGUCUAGGUACUUUUCUAUGUUUGUUUGAGGACAUUGUUUCUUUUAGAGGUGGAGACUGUGACAACCUAAUAGGUCAUUUUUAGUACUAGCCUUAAUUUGAGUGUUCUAAGACCUCCCAUGGCUUCAUUUGAUAUUUCUUGAUUUACGUGCUUAGUUCAUGUCGCUUUUCAAAAAGUUUUUACCUAAAUGUUUUGAAGAAAAAGUGAUUUUUGACUUAAAUGAGGCUAGAGUUUACCACGGUCAACAUUUUUUGUAAACGGUCUCAUAUCAGUGUUUUGAUGAUUUCAGUAGGUUCGUAUAAUGUUCUUAGACUUGUUCUCAUGUUUGGUUGGGGUCAGGGGUUACCCGAGUGCAUUUCGGCGCGUUAUGUGAAAAAUUAUGAAAAUGAGUUUUAAAGUUGAAUUUGUUGAAUUUUGAUGAUCGAUCCUUGUUAUUUGAUGUUAUUUUGAUGAUUUGAGGUAGCGAGCAAAUUUUUAGGAUGUUAUUACACACGUGUGCAUUUUUGGUUUGGAGCUCGAGGAGUUCGGGUGAGUAUCAAAUGAGUUUGGAUGGUUUAAAACUACUGGUGUAAGGCUUUAUUGGCGCAAGCCUGCAGAUAUCGCAUUUGUGAGGUCUAGCACGCAUUUGUGAGGUCUGGCUCACAUUUAGGAGCCUCGAUUUUGUGGUCAAUGGACCACAUUUGCGAUAAAGGAGUUGGGUUGGGUGUCCUCGCAUUUGCGAUGGAAAGUUCACUUUUGUGAAGGCUGGGCAGUCGCUCUUGCAAACAGUAUGGUCGCAUUUGCGACCAAUGAGCAUUAAGGACAGCUUAGCAUAUGCGAAGCAAUGUUUUGCAUUCGCAAUAAAUAUGUAACAUUUGCGACUACAAUGGGUCUGAUGCACUUAUCGCAUUUGCGAUCAGUGUUUCGCAUUUGCGAUCAGUGUUUCGCAUUUGCGGACAUCGCAUUUGCGAACAAGUGUUAGCAAAUGCGACAUCUACAACUGAGUAAAAGAGGGGGAAACGAGACUUAGCUCAUUUUACACCACUGUUUAACCCCAAAUACUCCGGAGGCAAUUUUUGAAGAAUCUUUUCUUCCCAAAUUCAUUGGUAAGCACCUCUAAUUACUUUUCAAUCAAUUUUAUUACUUUUCAUGAGUUUUUAACAUCAAAUAUUAUAAUUUCAUGGUAGAAAUUAGGGGUUUUGGGUAGAAUUUAGAAAUUUUAUUAAAUUAGGAUUUACAACCCAAAUUGAGGUUGGAUUUCGAAAUAAAUCACAUAUCCGAGUUCGGGGGCGAAUAGGUAAUUAUGUUUUGGUCCGAAUUGUGGAUUUUGACCAAGCGCCCCCAGGGUUGACUUUUAUUGACUUUUUUCAAAAAUGAUCAAAAUUGAGCCUUUUUCAUUCAUGGUUAGUUUCUAAAGCUUAUUUUUAAUUGUUUGAUUUGAUAAUUGCCUAGAUUCGGUUGGUUUGGAGGCUUGUUCGAAAGUCAAGGUCGUGAUUGAUUGUUGAUUUGGUUGUAGAGUGAGGUAUGUACCGUGGUUAACUUUGGCUUGAGGGAAUUAGGACUUGUUAGUCUAUCUGCUAUGUGAAUUAUGUGUGGGGAUGACGUAUAUGUAAGGUGGCGAGUAUAUAUGUGUUGUCAUUGGGUUAAAGCAUCCGGGUGGAAAUUGUCUUAUUGUACCAUUUUGUUUCAUUUAUUAUGCUUCUAUGCCUUAGUUAGAUUGCUAUACCUUUAAUUGUUCAUUUUUGUUUUCAUUGUUAAUUUGGAAGUUGUUGGGAUAUUGAAAGUCGAAAUUGCUUAUCAUAGCACUAUGGAUGAAGUUGAAAUUUGCUUCCCACUUUGCUUGAUACUUUGGGUUGUUAUUAUUGCUUGGUGAGGAAGAGUAGCACGAAGGGUGCUAUCGUGCUAUAUUUGCAUAUUGAUAUCAUUACUUGAGUGGAUGUGAAGAUUAAAACAUGAAGGAUGAUGUUGUGCACUUGAUUGCUUUGUUAUCAUUUAUCAAAUCAUGUGAGGAUGAGAGUAAAAGCCCGAAAGAUUAUGCCGUGCCAUUUCAUUUCAUUUAUCAUAUCAUAUAAUGAGGAUGACAGUAAAAGUAAGAAGGGUGAUACUGUUCUAUUUCAUUUAUCAUAUCAUAUGAUAAAGAUGAGAUCAAAAGUAUAAAGGGUGAUGUCGUGCAAUUUGAUAAUUGACUUACUUAAAUCUCGAAUUGUGAAUUUAACUUGGCUGCCUCGUUGCUUAUUUCAGAAAGAGACUACUUGGUGACUUUGUACUUACUGUUCUUAAUGUUGCGCCCUUUUUUAUAUGACCCCUCCCGUUAUUACUUUAAAUGCUUUACUUGUAAUUAAAUUGCUUUAUGUAUAUAUCUACACAGGUUUUUAGUAGGUGUCUUUUCUUAGCCUCAUCGGGGUUAGGGUCGACACUUAAAGAGUACAUUGGGCCGAUUGUACUCAUACUACACUUUUGCUUCUUAUGCAAAUUCUAGUGUUGGUCCCAGGGGCAUUUAGCGGAGUUUCUGCACGGAUCAUAUCUGCAUCUGGAGACUUGAGGUAGACCUGCGCAGCUAUCGCAGACCCUGAACUCCCCUUCAUUUUAUAGUCUUAUUGUUUAUUUUAUUUCGAACAAUUGUAUUUUUUUCAGACAUUGGUUAUAGAACUUUUAUUAUGCUCAUGUACUUGUGAUACUAGAUUCUGGGAAUUGGCUAGUCAGCGUUUGGGUUAUUAUACCUAUUUCGAAAUUCUAC